GGGGAUAUAGCUCAGUGAUAGAGUGCUUGCCUAGCAUGCACAAGGGCCUGAGUUCAAUCCCCAGUACCACUA
rnacentral:tRNA from 1 species